GGUUAAGCGACUAAGCGUACACGGUGGAUGCCCUGGCAGUCAGAGGCGAUGAAGGACGUGCUAAUCUGCGAUAAGCGUCGGUAAGGUGAUAUGAACCGUUAUAACCGGCGAUUUCCGAAUGGGGAAACCCAGUGUGUUUCGACACACUAUCAUUAACUGAAUCCAUAGGUUAAUGAGGCGAACCGGGGGAACUGAAACAUCUAAGUACCCCGAGGAAAAGAAAUCAACCGAGAUUCCCCCAGUAGCGGCGAGCGAACGGGGAGCAGCCCAGAGCCUGAAUCAGUGUGUGUGUUAGUGGAAGCGUCUGGAAAGGCGCGCGAUACAGGGUGACAGCCCCGUACACAAAAAUGCACAUGCUGUGAGCUCGAUGAGUAGGGCGGGACACGUGGUAUCCUGUCUGAAUAUGGGGGGACCAUCCUCCAAGGCUAAAUACUCCUGACUGACCGAUAGUGAACCAGUACCGUGAGGGAAAGGCGAAAAGAACCCCGGCGAGGGGAGUGAAAAAGAACCUGAAACCGUGUACGUACAAGCAGUGGGAGCCUCUUUUAUGGGGUGACUGCGUACCUUUUGUAUAAUGGGUCAGCGACUUAUAUUCUGUAGCAAGGUUAACCGAAUAGGGGAGCCGAAGGGAAACCGAGUCUUAACUGGGCGUUAAGUUGCAGGGUAUAGACCCGAAACCCGGUGAUCUAGCCAUGGGCAGGUUGAAGGUUGGGUAACACUAACUGGAGGACCGAACCGACUAAUGUUGAAAAAUUAGCGGAUGACUUGUGGCUGGGGGUGAAAGGCCAAUCAAACCGGGAGAUAGCUGGUUCUCCCCGAAAGCUAUUUAGGUAGCGCCUCGUGAAUUCAUCUCCGGGGGUAGAGCACUGUUUCGGCAAGGGGGUCAUCCCGACUUACCAACCCGAUGCAAACUGCGAAUACCGGAGAAUGUUAUCACGGGAGACACACGGCGGGUGCUAACGUCCGUCGUGAAGAGGGAAACAACCCAGACCGCCAGCUAAGGUCCCAAAGUCAUGGUUAAGUGGGAAACGAUGUGGGAAGGCCCAGACAGCCAGGAUGUUGGCUUAGAAGCAGCCAUCAUUUAAAGAAAGCGUAAUAGCUCACUGGUCGAGUCGGCCUGCGCGGAAGAUGUAACGGGGCUAAA
rnacentral:rRNA from 1 species